AUGAACGCUGGCGGCGUGCCUAAUACAUGCAAGUCGAGCGAACAGACGAGGAGCUUGCUCCUCUGAUGUUAGCGGCGGACGGGUGAGUAACACGUGGAUAACCUACCUAUAAGACUGGGAUAACUUCGGGAAACCGGAGCUAAUACCGGAUAACAUGUUGAACCGCAUGGUUCAACAGUGAAAGACGGUCUUGCUGUCACUUAUAGAUGGAUCCGCGCCGCAUUAGCUAGUUGGUAAGGUAACGGCUUACCAAGGCAACGAUGCGUAGCCGACCUGAGAGGGUGAUCGGCCACACUGGAACUGAGACACGGUCCAGACUCCUACGGGAGGCGGCAGUAGGGAAUCUUCCGCAAUGGGCGAAAGCCUGACGGAGCAACGCCGCGUGAGUGAAGAAGGUCUUCGGAUCGUAAAACUCUGUUAUUAGGGAAGAACAAAUGUGUAAGUAACUAUGCACGUCUUGACGGUACCUAAUCAGAAAGCCACGGCUAACUACGUG
rnacentral:rRNA from 1 species